GAUGAACGCUGGCGGCGUGCCUAAUACAUGCAAGUCGAGCGAACAGAUGAGGAGCUUGCUCCUCUGACGUUAGCGGCGGACGGGUGAGUAACACGUGGAUAACCUACCUAUAAGACUGGGAUAACUUCGGGAAACCGGAGCUAAUACCGGAUAAUAUAUUGAACCGCAUGGUUCAAUAGUGAAAGACGGUUUUGCUGUCACUUAUAGAUGGAUCCGCGCCGCAUUAGCUAGUUGGUAAGGUGACGGCUUACCAAGGCAACGAUGCGUAGCCGACCUGAGAGGGUGAUCGGCCACACUGGAACUGAGACACGGUCCAGACUCCUACGGGAGGCAGCAGUAGGGAAUCUUCCGCAAUGGGCGAAAGCUUGACGGAGCAACGCCGCGUGAGUGAUGAAGGUCUUCGGAUCGUAAAACUCUGUUAUUAGGGAAGAACAAAUGUGUAAGUAACUAUGCACGUCUUGACGGUACCUAAUCAGAAAGCCACGGCUAACUACGUG
rnacentral:rRNA from 1 species